CCUACGGGAGGCAGCAGUGAGGAAUAUUGGGCAAUGGGCGCGAGCCUGAACGAGCAAAGUCGCGUGAGGGAAGACGGUCCUAUGGAUUGUAAACCUCUUUUGUCGGGGAGCAAAAGACGCCACGCGUGGCGUUCCGAGAGUACCCGAAGUAAAAGCAUCGGCAAAAUCCGUGCCAGGAGACGCGGUAAUACGGGGGAUGCGAGCGUUGUCCGGAUUUAUUGGGUUAAAGGUGUGCGCAGGCGGAAGAUCAAGUUAGCGGUAAAAUUGAGGGGCUCAACCUCUUCGGGCCGUUGAAACUGGUUUUCUUGAGUGAGCGAGAGGUAUGCGGAAUGCGUGGUGUAGCGGUGAAAUGCAUAGAUAUCACGCAGAACUCCGAUUGCGAAGGCAGCAUACCGGCGCUCAACUGACGCUCAUGCACGAAAGUGUGGGUAUCGAACAGGAUUAGAUACCCGGGUAGUC
rnacentral:rRNA from 1 species